rnacentral:rRNA from 1 species
UACAUAGAUGGCAAGCGUUGUCCAAAUUUAUUGGAUUUAAGGGGUGCGUAGGCAGUUUUAUAAGUCAGUACUGAAAUAUCCCAGCUUAACCAAAAGGAUGGCAUUGAUACUAUAAAACUUAAAUAAAGUUAAAAUUAACGAAAUUGACGGUGUAGCGGUAAAAUGCUUAGAUAUCGUCAAGAACACCGAUAAUGAAGACAGCUAACUAAACUUUAACUAACGCUAAAACACAAAAGUAUAAGGAUCAAACAGG